AGAACUGUAUUAAAGGGCUGCAGCAUUAGGAACGUUGAGAACCACUGAUCUAAGCAUUUCCUUCCUUCCACUGCCCUGAUUGAUUCCUUGAUCUAUUAACCUAACCAACUAUUUCCCCUGCCCUCAUCAAGUCAUCCAUUCACCCAUCCCCCACCUCAGCUGUACCUAUUCCUCCAUCUCUCGGCCCCCCACAUCACCUCCACCUCACCACCCCAACCUCUCUUGCUCCCAAAUCUAUGCACUCCCUUCUCUACCAUCUCUAUUCUCUAUCAGUCAGGUAUUCUAUUCAAUGCUGAAUGAGUACUUACUUAGGCCAUUCCCACAUGCGUUAAUUUAUGCAGACAACAUGUACUGAUAAUAGCUGUCAACUCAUUAACUCAACCAGCCAACAUGUGCAGAGAAUGUAGGGUCUUAUUUGUCCACCCGUGUCAAUGUGUUCACUUGACAGUGACCUGGUAGCAGCCAUUUAUUUUGUUCUCCCGACAAGUAAUGGCGCAGCCACUGUUGGGUCAAUUAGACAGAAAUCUGAUGCUUAUUGCGCUCUUACUAAUGGCAGACCCUGGUUUCCAACACUUAGGGUGCAGGUGGUGACUUGGACAAAGUCUUUAAGCCACAGAGAAUCUAAACGAAACAAUGUAUCUGUUAACGGGCCACUGUUCUGGGAGUUGGGAAGUGCGGAGGUAAGUGAAACUUUAGAAAAUGCAUCCCGAGGUAGUCAACAAGGGGGCUUGAAAUCCAAGCCACCUUAAAUCCACUCCUGUGACAGUGGGUUGUGACUUUCCAUCAAGUGUCUGUUUCCUCAUCUAUGAACUGGGGCAUUGACAGCACCUACCAUCCAAAACUGCGGAGAGGCAGAGAGCCUCUGAUGAACGACUGGUCAGAGUUAAGAGCGAGCUAAGUGGGCACUGGAGGGAGGGCAGUCCAGGCAGCAAGAACCAGGGCAAGGCAGAGAGGCUGGCAGUCUCCUGCAGAGCCCAAGAUGUAAAGUUAACUACAGCUGCUGCAAGGAAAGGCGAGAGGAAAGGGUGGGAAGAUAGAGGUCCUGAGAAAGAUGGCAGACAGCAUCUAGAGUCUCAUUCUCUUCCUAGGAGCCCUGAAUUACAUGAGAACAGCCUAGACAUGCAAAUUCCUCAACCCAGCCACAGCCCUGAUAGAUGAGACUCUGUGACUGGGAUGCAGCCUGUGAGAACCAGCUCUGUAGGUGACAGGGAGUCACCUUCCAGUCUGGGAGGUGAGGAGACUGAGGCCCACAGAAAAUAAAGACAUCCGUAUGCCAAGUGGAGUGGUGCACAGCUGUGGUCCCAGGGAGACAUAGAAGAUCAAGCAGCUGACCUGGAACCUAAACACUGGAAGAGCAUCCCGGAAACCAGCUGCUCCCAGACCUGCCCACAUCUUCCUAGCCAGUUCCUCAUCUGCAGAAUCGAACUAGCUCAGCCUAGACAUGCCAUUGCCACAGAGAAGCCUAGCAGUGUGCCAGGGGGUCUCCUGGACCACAGAGGGGGUGCACGGGGAUCCCAGCUGAUGGGCCUGAGAAUCAUGGUCGACUUUGGAAGAGCCUGGAGUCAGGGGACCCAAGUGAGUUCCAUGGCACCUCGGCUUUGUCGCCGAACCUUUGCUGUUCCUCUGUAUCCAGUGGCUUCCUAGGCAAGUGCCUGGAACCUUCUCUCUGCAGUUUUGUGGCAGCCACAUGGAGACUACAGAGGCACCGCUCCCAGGAGCAGCCUCUAGCUUUCCCACGUAGGAGCUGAGGUUAAAUAGUUAAAUAACCACAGACAACAAAACAGAUGAGCCAAGAUACAAAUAGCUGGUGAUUGCCCACUGUCUUAGUUUGGGUUUCUGUUACUGCAGUGAAACUCUAUGACAGACAAGCAAGUUGGGGAGGAAAGGGUUCAUUUGUCUUGCACUUCCAUAUUCAUCAUUGGAGGAAGUCAGGUCAGGGAAUCAAACAGACCAGAAAUACUGAGGCAGAAGCUGAUGCAGAG